GCCUGGCUAGCUCAAUCGGUAGAGCGUCAGACUCUUAUCAAGAGUCAUGUCAUUUGAUAUCUGAAGGUUGUGGGUUCGACCCCCACGUUAGGCU